rnacentral:rRNA from 1 species
AUUGAACGCUGGCGGCAUGCCUUACACAUGCAAGUCGAACGGCAGCACGGACUUCGGUCUGGUGGCGAGUGGCGAAACGGGUGAGUAAUGUAUCGGAACGUACCUUUCAGUGGGGGAUAACGUAGCGAAAGUUACGCUAAUACCGCAUAUUCUGUGAGCAGGAAAGCAGGGGAUCGCAAGACCUUGCGCUGAUUGAGCGGCCGAUAUCAGAUUAGCUAGUUGGUGGGGUAAAGGCCUACCAAGGCUACGAUCUGUAGCGGGUCUGAGAGGAUGAUCCGCCACACUGGAACUGAGACACGGUCCAGACUCCUACGGGAGGCAGCAGUGGGGAAUUUUGGACAAUGGGGGCAACCCUGAUCCAGCCAUGCCGCGUGAGUGAAGAAGG